rnacentral:rRNA from 1 species
AGAUUGAACGCUGGCGGCAUGCCUAACACAUGCAAGUCGAACGAAAUUAAAGGGGCAACUCUUUAGUUUAGUGGCGGACGGGUGCGGAAUGCGUAGGAAUCUGCCUUAAAGUGGGGGAUAACUCGGGGGAAACUCGAGCUAAUACCGCAUAUGCUCUACGGAGUAAAGGGGGCGCAAGCUCUCGCUUUAAGAUGAGCCUACGUCGGAUUAGCUAGUUGGUGGGUAAAGCCCACAAGGCAAUGAUCCGUAGCUGGUCUGAGAGGAUGACCAGCCACACUGGGACUGAGAUACGGCCCAGACUCCUACGGGAGGCAGCAGUGGGGAAUAUUGGACAAUGGGGGCAACCCUGAUCCAGCAAUGCCGCGUGUGUGAAGAAGGCCUUCGGGUGUAAGCACGUUUCAGUGGGUAAGAAAGCUACGAGGAGUUAAUACCCCUGACGUGUUAGACGUUACCAC